rnacentral:rRNA from 1 species
GCUUAGCCCUAAACAUAGAUAGUACAAACACAACACUAUCCGCCAGAGAACUACAAGCGAAAAGCUCAAAACUCCAAGGACUUGGCGGUGCUUCAAACCAACCUAGAGGAGCCUGUCCUAUAAUCGAUACCCCACGUUCUACCUCACCCCCCCUCGAAACUCAGCCUAUAUACCGCCGUCGCCAGCCUACCUUGUGAAAGAAACAAAGUAAGCAAAACAAUUAAUAACUAACACGUCAGGUCAAGGUGUAGCACAUGGGGCGGCAGAGAUGGGCUACAUUUUUUCUAAAACACACACGAACAGCACACUGAAACAUGUGCCUAAAGGUGGAUUUAGUAGUAAGAUAGACAAGAAAAACUAUCUUAAACCAGCCCUGAAGCGCGC